GUCACCCUGCUGUGUGCGUCGGCGUCGCAAGUUUUGAGCCAACACCAACAGACUGGGAGUCCAGAUUCGCUUGUGGCGCACAUGCCCCCGCCGAGGGGACGUGCAAAGCAGGCGAGAGGACACCCCCUUGCAGGGGCGGGACUCAAGAAACCUGCGGCGCGACGGCACGGCGGGGUGCGC
rnacentral:other from 1 species